UACGUAGGAGGCGAGCGUUGUCCGGAGUUACUGGGCGUAAAGGGUGCGCAGGCGGCGGUUCGCGUGGCGAGAUGAAAUCUCCUGGCUUACCUGGGAGGAUGGUCGCCAGACGGGAUCGCUUGAGGGUCGGAGAGGGGCGUGGAAUUCCGGGUGGAGCGGUGAAAUGCGUAGAGAUCCGGAGGAACACCGACGGCGUAGGCAGCGCCGGGGACGACACCUGACGCUGAGGCACGAAAGCUGGGGGAGCAAACAGG
rnacentral:rRNA from 1 species